CCUACGGGCGGCAGCAGUGGGGAAUAUUGGACAAUGGGCGAAAGCCUGAUCCAGCAAUGCAGCGUGUGUGAAGAAGGCCUGAGGGUUGUAAAGCACUUUCAGUAGGGAAGAUAAUGACGGUAUCUGGUAAAGAAACCCCGGCUAACUACGUGCCAGCAGCCGCGGUAAUACGUAGGGGGCAAGCGUUAUCCGGAAUUACUGGGUGUAAAGGGAGCGUAGACGGUUAAGUAAGUCUGGAGUGAAAGGCCGGGGCCCAACCCCGGGACUGCUCUGGAAACUAUUGAACUUGAGUGCAGGAGAGGUAAGCGGAAUUCCUAGUGUAGCGGUGAAAUGCGUAGAUAUUAGGAGGAACACCAGUGGCGAAGGCGGGUUCCUGGACAUUAACUGACGCUGAGGCACGAAGGCCAGGGGAGCGAAAGGGAUUAGAUACCCUAGUAGUC
rnacentral:rRNA from 1 species